CAACCCUACCGACAGCCAUCUAUAACCAUAGUCCAUACAUAUCAUCAGGAGGCAUCUCUUAGCUCCAGACUUGUUGUCUAGGUUUGAGUGAAAUCGGUCUGGGAAACCGUCAAGGCCUCCCGAUUAAUCAAAAAAUGCCUAAAGGAUGAGAUUUUUUGUUGCUCUAUCGCGUUCGCAACCUUAUCUCUCUCGCUGUUCUCCCUCUUUGAUAGAAGGUUUCCAGCUGUAAACAACACCGCCACAGCCCUCCAUCGAUUGAAGGUUUCUGUGCUCUCCCUCUCAAUUGAAGCAGGUUCUGCCGAAGUGAUGAAAGAGUUUUGACUCAUUGGAUGCUCCUUAUGAUGUCAGAGCACGUGAUGGUUUCCAAACAUUCUUAAAGAUGCACUUGUCAGUGUGACCCUUAAGCAAGAGAGGAGACUCGAUUGCUGUCUUUGAAGGAGGAAAGUCUACAAUAUGCUACUAAAUUCAUACAACAAUGAUAGACGAGCUUCAUAUAGUAUAGACAUAUUGCAUACAGUGUUAGAUAAGUUGUUUAUGUACUAUUGCAUGAGUUGGUUGGAAACCGGUCUACAACUGCAUGGAACUUGUCUACUAGUUAUAUGGAGCGGUAUGCUUAAACGCCAUUGAGCAGAUAUGUGCACGUUGCAGGAAUAUGGGCCGGUAUAUCUACUCUGGGUCACACAUAGUUGUUCUCACAUUGGUCAAAAGAAUGGCAAGCCCGCCGGAUCUGAUCAAGGAGACCAUGAAGCAGGAGAAAGAAGCAACAAUCGUCUACUCGUCUACUCGUCUACUCGUUUAGUUUUUAUUUUCUGUUGCCAAGUUAGAACCUAAGCCAAGUUCUGAUUCAACCCUGAAAUAUUAUUGUAUAUGUACGCAAUCUCUUCUCAGAAAUUCAGAAUAUGUACGUUUAAGACCGGCUAUAUGUUUUGAAAUAUAUUGCGGAUCAAUCUAUCUAGUUAACGUA